CAUAGUGGCUGUUAGCUAGUAGUAGUUCUUAUAGAGUUGGAAAACUACAUACAGAUGUGUGUGUGGUAUAUUUGUUCCUAGAACACACACAACUCUGUGUCUGUCUCCUUUCUGCCUCAUAGUACUGUGCCCCUGUGCUUGUGAGGCGUUCAGGCACACUGUGUGUUUCGGAGCUUCUGAGACUUCCAUUAAAUGUACGAAUUCAACUUCCACAAACCAGAUUGGUGUCUUUAAAUGUACGGUUUGCUGUAAACGCCCCUUAGUUAUCUGCAGCUGUCUCGUACGAUGGUAGUGCCAAUGAAUACAAGACUAAGGCACAUCGCCACCUCCUCUCCUGAAGUUCACCGAUAGUACACUUAUGCAAGCUUAUCACACAACACGACUGCAUAUGACUGGAAAUCCCAGUUAUGUCUAUUUAUAAGGAAGCAUAUCUUCCCUUUUCCCACUCUUCCAUCUGCCAGACCUGGUUUAGUGACCGUGUUAGUCUUAUAGACACUUUUAGUGCCUGUUUAAAAAAAAUAAAAUGCUGCUACAUGCAAGGAUGCAAUCAGAUGGGUAGUGUCACGGUUCCACAGGUUCUAUUAGAACCAACUACUCUACAGGUCAGUGUUAUUAAUACAACCAAUCCAGUCGGGCUUCCACAGGUUUUUGUUGUUGUUGUUCAGUCAGAGCUUACUACUGCAGCAUGAUGUCUUUGAGGUUCUCCUGCAGGAUUGUGUCCUUCACGGCAUGGAAGACGAAGCGGAUGUUUUCUGUAUCCACCGCGGUAGUGAAGUGGUGGAAGAGCGGCUUCCCUCGAUUCCUCCUUUUGCGGCUGAACGCCUGGACCAGGAACGCCUGCAUGUGAAGACACGCAUUGGUCCGGAGGCCAAAUCCGUCCCACGCUGCAAUUUCAUCUAGCCUGCCUCAUGGACUUCAUCAAACAAAGUGCUUAAAGCGAUCUGCGAGAACAUGUAUCACCUGUGAUACUUCCAGAGGAUGAGACGCUGUCUUUAUGGAGACUUUGGAUGGGAAGUACAUUGGUGGAUCUCCAGCAGGACUUCCAGCAGACCCUGACAUAGCAUCCUGAUGAAAAGCAGAGAAGUGGUGACCAGAAGUGGAUGAAAACCCUUGAAAAAACAUGUUUCCUGAAGCCAACCGAGUGAUGAAUGAUAUGGUUCAAAGUCAAGGCAGUGAGUAAUGCAGUGAUGUAGAAAAGGCACAGUCUUUUUUUUUUUAAUAUUGUUUGUGAAAGGCAUCCUUUUGACAACCAUUGUUCCACCGCAGCAGGCAAUGUGAAACUGAAAAAGAUCACACCGGUUGUAAUGCUUUGUGACAGAUAGAAAAUACCUGAAUAAAUGAACAAAGUUCAAUAUAAUAGAUGAAUAUUUUACUGUCAAAGUUUUCAUCUUGAGAUGUUCUCAAGGGGAACGAACAAUUCAUCUGUUUCAAUGUCUUUGAAACCCAAAAAGUCCUAAACUUGCAUAUUGAAAAGCUGUUCUUCACCAUAUCUCUUUCUGGUUUGUUUCAUUGACCACACGCAAAAAUAGGAAUUGAAAAAAAUAUAUACUCUGACUUGGCCCAUGCAUCAAUCUUUCAUGGUUUUGUUUUUUGUUGUGUGAACUACAGUUAACGCAGACCUGCGCUUCUUAUUAUAAGUGAAGAAUAAACUGAUAUUCACAGAUAGCUGGAGUACUGCAAUGAUUCACUGUCAAUGAUGUACCCGUACUCACAAGGGCAGUGUUUGAUUUUGCAUGAAUGGUUUUAAUAAUUUAGAAAAUUGAAAUAUUGACACUUUCAAGAAUUUUGUCCCCACAGUGGUAUGCAAUUUUGCAUGCCAAUGAAUAAAUUCAUUGUAAACAGGUGUGAAGUAUUCAUAAACUUUUUGGAGCCGCGUGCCAAUGCAUGAAU